UGCCGACACCCGGGAUCGAACCAGGACCUUUAUUCUAGCGCUCUCCCAAAUGAGCUAUUUCGGC